rnacentral:rRNA from 1 species
GACGAACGCUGGCGGCGUACUUAACACAUGCAAGUCGAGCGGAGCGGCGAACGGGUGAGUAACGCGUGAGUAACUGCCCCCCUCUCUGGGAUAACAGUUGGAAACGGCUGCUAAUACCGGAAAGUGGGGGAUGACGCGCGUCCUAUCAGCUUGUUGGUGGGGUAGUGGCCUACCAAGGCGAGGACGGGUAGCCGCCCUGAGAGGGCGACCGGCCACAGUGGGCUGGGGUAGGGGCCGAACGCCUCCGUGAGGCAGGAGUGGAGAAGAUUGGGAGAGGGGGGGAGCGCGGAUGCAGCAACGCCGCGUGGGAGAGGACUGCCUUCGGGGUGGAAACGGCUUCCAGCGAUGACGCGGUAGUGGCAGAGGAAGCACCGGCUAACUACGUGCCAGCAGCCGCGGUAAUUC